UACGGGGGGGGCAAGCGUUGUUCGGAAUUACUGGGCGUAAAGGGCGCGUAGGCGGCCUGCUAAGUCGGACGUGAAAUCCCUCGGCUCAACCGGGGAACUGCGUCCGAUACUGGUGGGCUCGAAUCCGGGAGAGGGAUGUGGAAUUCCAGGUGUAGCGGUGAAAUGCGUAGAUAUCUGGAGGAACACCGGUGGCGAAAGCGGCUCACUGGAUCUCUUCUGACGCUGAGGCACGAAAGCUAGGGUAGCGAACGGG
rnacentral:rRNA from 1 species